UACCUCGUGGUGUAGUGGCUAAAACACUCGGCUCACUACCAAGAGAGCUCGGGUUCGAAUCCUGAGCGGGGAAG